ACUCAAAUGAAUUGACGGGAACCCGCACAAGCGGUGGAGCAUGUGGUUCAAUUCGACGAUAAGCGAGGAACCUUACCAAGGCUUGACAUGUCUGGAAUCCAGCCGAAAGGUUGGAGUGCCGCAAGGAACCAGAACACAGGUGCUGCAUGGCUGUCGUCAGCUCGUGUCGUGAGACGUCGGGUUAAGUCCUUUAACGAGCGCAACCCCUGUCUCGUGUUACAUUGUUCACGAGAGACUGCCUGGGUAACCAGGAGGAAGGUGGGGACGACGUCAAGUCAGCAUGGCCCUUACGCCUUGGGCUACACACGUGCUACAAUGGAGCCAACAACGGGACGCCAAGUCGCGAGACGGAGCAAAUCCCUUAAAUGGCCCCUCAGUUCGGAUUGCAGGCUGCAACUCGCCUGCAUGAAGCUGGAAUCGCUAGUAACCGUGGAUCAGCCUCGCCACGGUGAAUACGUUCUCGGGUUUUGCACACACCGCCCGU
rnacentral:rRNA from 1 species